CUCAGGGCUCCUAGCUCCAGGGCGCCAGGGUGUGCUAGGCUGGGCCAGGGGGUGCGUCCUAGAGCAGUGGGAGGCUCACCUACUCCCCGCCCCAGCCCCUCAGCCCCGUCCUCUCUCCUCCGGUCUGCACUGGGCCAUGAUACUCGUCCGAUUUGGAAGUUUCGAGCUCACUCCGCUGCCCCGGGCCCAGGGGGCUACGCUGGGGGUGAUUUGGAGGGGAUAGAGGGGUCUGAGGCAGGGGGCGCAUGGAUUGGCCGCAACGCCCUCUCUCGCCUCUGACUGGCCUGAGAGCCUACCAACAGUCCUCCCUCGGGAGCUAGGGCCCCCUCCGGCCCCACAUCAGCAGUGGGCCAGGGAGGGAGGGAGAGAGGGUAGGAAGGAAGGAAGGAAGGAGGGAGAGAAGGAAGGAGGGAAGGAAGAAGGCUGCCUUACACUGCCCAGCCUCUUCUGGCCGGGGGCGGAUGGCUGGCUCUCCGGGGAUGGAAUCGCGAGCAGGCAGCAUCCGCUGGCAAUUUUCUCCUCUAGGCUCCCGCUGGAAGGAAGGUCCUGCGCCCAGAGACCGGCAGCCCUCCCUCUCGCCUUCUCUGUCCUGGGCUCCUCUCGCAACCCCCGGGCCCAGGGGCCGGCUCGGGCUGGGCGAUCACCGAGCCAGGGGAGGAGGCGCCGGCGGCGGCGGGGGAGCCGAGGAGCGGCCGCCUCGCCGGGGUCCCAUGUGCCCGGGGCUCCGAGGGGGUGCCGGAGCCCGUCCGUCCCGCACAGCAGCGUCCGCUUCUCCCUCCCCGGCUCAGGCCGCUACUGAUCUAUCUCCGGGCGGUGGAUUCUUGUAGCCCUUCCAAGACGCCUGGGGAUCCCUCCUCCUCUUCCUUUUCUCGCCCCCACCCCCACCCCUUUUCGCGCCCGGCAACUUGGGAACCGUUCGCAAAGUUGGUGCUCCGAGAUGGGCUCUGCAGGAGCCGAGGCGUCCGCGGCACAGAAAGGAGGAGAGCAGAGAAGGGAAGGACUUUCCCAGACCCGUGGCCCCUCCGCCCAACGCCUGCCCUCACCCUACUCCCGCGCCCUGCGCCCUAGCUCCCACCCCCACCCCCGCCUCCGGGGAGCAAAGAACGAACAAGGACCCCUGUGUGCGCCUUUGUUCCCUGCGCGCCUCCCUGGCCGGCCUGCCCUGCACCCCCCUCUUUGGGCUGCCUCUCUGAAGCCUCUCCCUGUUCCUCCCCGCCCCUCAACUGCACAUCCUGCUCCUUCGAUGGGUACUGGGGAUCCUUACGACCAAGGAAAAAGCCUCUUUUCCAUUGACUGCCAGGCAGCAGCGAGAGAGGAUCUUCUCCCUUCAGACCAAGUCUGAGUGGCAAGGGUGACCUGGCAGCUGAGCCUCACCGCAAUGUUGCCCAGGAAUGACAUCAGAAAAGAAGCAAAGGGUAUGGGUUUCUAUGGUAACCAGAAUGCCCUGGGCUGCUUAAAAAAAAAUAAUAAAAUAAAAUAAGCCAU
rnacentral:lncRNA from 1 species